AUCAUUCUGUUCAUACUUAGACCUCAAGCCUGUGUGUUAAGAACUUACUAAAUUUCAUAUCUAAAAUUGUUUUCUAGAGAGGAUUUUGUCCAUCUUAUUAUAAUAUCAUAUGAUGAGUGGUUAUAUACAGUUCAUGUUUUGUAAGGAGAAAAUUUGACACAUCUCCAAUUAGGUCAUCAGUUGUUUGAAGGAAGAUUGGAAAACCAAGGAAUGUGUUGCGCAUGAUGGAGAUCCCAAGAAGGAAAUUACAAGUCUGAAGUCAACAGCAAACCCAGGAAGGAAAGGACAACAUUUACCAAGAGCAAAUCCAAGGACUAGAAGCAGAAUUUGCCCAUCACAACUAUGUGACUAGACUGAGGAGAUACAAGAUAGCAGAGAAUCUGGAUCUCACCAAAAGACAGAUAAGCUUGGAGAAGUCUCCUGACAGAUAUCUGGUAUCUGACAGGGGGAAGAAAGAGAAAACAGCUGCAUGGGAAUUUAACAGGGAGUGGUAAAAAGGACAUUUUUACAGAGUGAAGGCUGCCAAAUGUAGAAGUAGUGGGAGAUCCUGCCACUUCACAAAAUCUUUUCCACAGUGCUAAUCAAAGGUGCAAUAUUGUGGAUUUUUAAAGCAGCUAAAAUGAGUGGAAUAAACAUACUGAGAACU
rnacentral:lncRNA from 1 species